ensembl:lncRNA
AUCCUCUAUGCACAACUUAAGGUAUAAAAACUACUUUGGAAAAUAAAGUGCGGGCCUUGUUCACCGAAACUUGGUCUCCCCAUGUCGCGCUCUCUCUCACUCUGGCUGAGUCUCCAUCUGGAGUGCGGAACCCACCAUGCUUACUAAUUAUGCCUGGGCUUCUAAGAUCCGACCGGGGAGGCCUCAGUGUCUCCUCUCCUUAAGGAGAAUGGAAGGACGCCUGCAGCCUAUAGGGCCAGGAGCUCUUUCCGCAUUAACUGCAUGCUGAUCAGAGAAUCAACACUUGAUUGCUAUAUCCUAGGCUCUGAAGUUGAAAUUGUUUACCUGCAGAGACCCAUUUACCAUAUGUGAUCCCUGUUCUAUAAAAAGGAGAAGGAAAUGGCAACCUACAAGCCCAAGAUACAGGAGAGGGCCUGUGAAGGAGAACCGGAUGCUGUGCUUAAUGGCUCCAGCUGAGUUUCCAGCCUACAGCCAAUACCAACUGUCAGCCAUAUGAGAAAUCAUCUUGGAUGUUGCAGCUAAACUGAUUAUCCAGAUGACUGUAAUCACAACAAAUACUGCACGGAGCAGAAGAACCUCCCAGCUGGACCCAGGAAACCCACAGAACAGAACCAUGAAAAUAAUAGACUGUUUUUGUUGGCAGGGGGUUUGUUAUGUAUCAAUAAACUUUGAACAGGGUCUGCCCCAUGG